rnacentral:rRNA from 1 species
UGCAGUCGAGCGGUAGCACAAGGAGCUUGCUCCUGGGUGACGAGCGGCGGACGGGUGAGUAAUGUCUGGGAAACUGCCCGAUGGAGGGGGAUAACUACUGGAAACGGUAGCUAAUACCGCAUAACGUCUUCGGACCAAAGUGGGGGACCUUCGGGCCUCACACCAUCGGAUGUGCCCAGAUGGGAUUAGCUAGUAGGUGAGGUAAUGGCUCACCUAGGCGACGAUCCCUAGCUGGUCUGAGAGGAUGACCAGCCACACUGGAACUGAGACACGGUCCAGACUCCUACGGGAGGCAGCAGUGGGGAAUAUUGCACAAUGGGCGCAAGCCUGAUGCAGCCAUGCCGCGUGUGUGAAGAAGGCCUUCGGGUUGUAAAGCACUUUCAGCGAGGAGGAAGGGUUCAGUGUUAAUAGCACUGUUCAUUGACGUUACUCGCAGAAGAAGCACCGGCUAACUCCGUGCCAGCAGCCGCGGUAAUACGGAGGGUGCAAGCGUUAAUCGGAAUUACUGGGCGUAAAGCGCACGCAGGCGGUUUGUUAAGUCAGAUGUGAAAUCCCCGAGCUUAACUUGGGAACUGCAUUUGAAACUGGCAAGCUAGAGUCUUGUAGAGGGGGGUAGAAUUCCAGGUGUAGCGGUGAAAUGCGUAGAGAUCUGGAGGA